CCUACGGGAGGCAGCAGUGGGGAAUAUUGCACAAUGGGGGAAACCCUGAUGCAGCGACGCCGCGUGAGUGAAGAAGUAAUUCGUUAUGUAAAGCUCUAUCAGCAGGGAAGAAAAUGACGGUACCUGAGCAAGAAGCCCCGGCUAACUACGUGCCAGCAGCCGCGGUAAUACGUAGGGGGCAAGCGUUAUCCGGAUUUACUGGGUGUAAAGGGAGCGUAGACGGCAGUGCAAGUCUGGAGUGAAAGGCGGGGGCUCAACCCCCGGACUGCUCUUGAAACUGUACGGCUGGAGUGCAGGAGAGGUAAGUGGAAUUCCUAGUGUAGCGGUGAAAUGCGUAGAUAUUAGGAGGAACACCAGUGGCGAAGGCGGCUUACUGGACUGUAACUGACGUUGAGGCUCGAAAGCGUGGGGAGCAAACAGGAUUAGAUACCCGUGUAGUC
rnacentral:rRNA from 1 species